rnacentral:lncRNA from 1 species
AUGAAACCUUGAUAACGAAAUGGGAAUGAGGAAAGGAACCCUGCAAACAUGAGGCUUCUCAAAGGCACGCAUGCAAGGGCCACACAGUCACAAGUGUGAGGAGACAGAGAACCAUGAACAGCUGCUCUGCUGAGGGGAGACACCAUCUUCCUCAUUAAGCUACACAAACUGAAUCCCUCCAAGACCACCCAAGAUCAGCCCUGAAUUACAGACUGGCUGAAAGUCCAAAGCUGGAUAAUCCACCACACCAAGUUAUUUUUCAAAAUGGCAUAUUGGCACACUUGCAAACAAACUAGAAGCAAUCACCCAUAAUCACAAGGUUGACUGCCUGGGUGCAG